CUUGAAAGCUUGGCCAUUUUAAAACUCAAAGGAAGUGUACCUCCAACAGUGAGACUCAGGCUGUGUGACAGAUGGUAGAAAGAAAUAUUUACACGAAGGCUGUGGCUGGGAGGGCAGACACGCUCACUGUUGCCGUAGGUGAACUUGUGUUGCUGCCUGUUGGACACGCAGGCACAACGUGGCGAAGCCUCCAUGAGUCCUGACGUGUCUUCCUCACAGCAAACAGCCGCCACCUUUAGUUACUCCUUGGGGACCACGAUUUUUCUCAGCCAGCCUCCUUCACGAUCUCCUCCAAAGUGCGCUUGGCUCUCCCGGGAGAAUCGCAGCUGAGAAUGACAGCUGGACAGUUGCACCCGGCUCACCAGCUUCGCACACAGCUUGCUUUCAAGGAAGUGGGGCAGCAAACUGGCAGACCCCCGGAAAGACUCAGUUUCCCCACCUUGACUGCAUUUAGGGGUGGCUGUGCGACUGAGUUCUGGCCAAUGAAGUGUGAGUGGGAGAGGCCACUCACUAGUUAGAAACGAGUCAACAUCACUGGGUACAAGGUCAGUAUACAAAAAUCAAUUGUAUUUCUUUACACUAGCAACAAAUAAUUUGAAAGUGAAAUUUCAAAAAACAGUUCCAUUAUCAAUAACACCAAAAACGAACCCCCAGGAAUAAAUAUAAUAAAAGAUGUGCAAGACCUCUAUCAGAAAACUAUAAAACACUACCAAGAGAAAUUAAAGAAGCAGGGGAAAAAAGGAGUUACAUACCUUGUUCAUACAUUGAAAGAAUACUAUAAAUCUGAUAAAUCUCCCCAAUUUUAUUUAGGGGAUUCAGUUCAAUCCCAAGCAAAAUCCCCACAUGAGUUUUUGUGUGUAAAAACCAACAAGCAAAUCGUGAAAUGCAAAGUGUCAAGAACAGAAAACAGUCUUGAGGAAAAACCAAGUAGAGGAUGUAAAUCACUGAUUUUCAAGCUACUAUAAUUAAAACUAUGUGGUAUCAGUGAAAGGGUAGACAAAUGGGCCAAAACAGUAAAAUAGAGUUCCCCAACUCAACCCACACAUAUAUAAUCAACCUGAUUUGCAGCAAAGGUACAGUGCCACACAGCGGAGAAAGGAAGAUCUUUUCAGUAAAUGGUGCCGAUCCAUUGAAUAUUCAAAUGGGAAACACCUUGACCCCUACAUCAUGCCAAAGACAUAAAUAAAUUACAGAGAAAUCAUAGACCAAAAUGUGAAAGGAAAACAGCAAAGCUUUCAAAAGAUAGCAGAGGAAACACAGAACAUCUUCAUGACCUUGGGAUAGGCAAAGAUUUCUUUAACAGGACGCAAAACAUACUACUCAUAAAAGAAAAGAUUGAUACCCAGUAUUUCAUUAAAAUUUAAAACUUUUGUUUAUUUAAAAAAAAUGAAGGGAGUGAAAAGGUAAGCCACAGAGUGUGAAAAUAUAAUUGCAAUCCGUAUAAUUGACAAAGAAUUCAUAUCCAGAAUAUAUAAAGAACUUCUUCAAAUCAAUAAGAAAAAGAGAGACUAUCUAAAAGAAAAAUCAGCCAAAGAUUUAAACAGGAAAUUCUCAAAAAAGAAUACUAAAGUGUCCAACGAGGCUUUAAAAAGGUGCUCAAUAACAUGAGUCAUUAGGAAAAUGCAAAUUAAAAACACAAUAAGAUACCACAGCACUCACACCAGAAUGGCCACAUGAGAAAGACAGACAAUACCAAGUGCUAGCAAGGAUAUGGAGCAACUGGCAGCCUCAUGCAAUGCUAAAGUUGGGCAUGUAAAUUUGCAGAACUACUUUGGAAAACUAUUUGGCAACAUCUACUAAAGUUUUAUGUAUGCACGCUCUGUGACCCAGCAAUUCUACUGCUCGGUACAUACACAACAGAAAUUUAUAGAUAUGUGCAGCAAAAGACACAUUCAUAACAGCUUUACUGAUAAUAGUCCAAACUGAAGACAAUCCAAAUGCCUGCCAGCAGUAGAAUGGAUAAACUGUGGUAUAUUCAUGCAAUGGAGUCUUAUACAGCAAUGAAAGAGAAUUAAUUGCUGCUUCAAGCUACAAUAUAGAUGAAUCUCACAGAUGUAAUAUUGUAUGAAACAAGUGUGUGUACCUUCCCUAUGCUCUCUUUCCUCACCUGCCAACUAAAAUGACAAGGACUCCGAGGAUCUAGAAGAGGGUUGAGCAGCAAAAUAGAGCUUGGGGGCCCCUGAAUGAUCAUGUGGCCAGGAACACCCCCUUUGUGCUGUGACGUCAGUGAAAAUGACUUUUUGUGUUAAGUCACAAAAUCUGGGGUUAAUCUGUUUCAGCAGCCACCAUUUCUUACCCUCAGUGGUAAACAGGGCAAUGUAUAGUUAAGUGAGAACAGGUGGUACCAUCAGAAUGUGCUGGAGAAGCUCAUAAGAAGGAGAGGCCACCAGGAGCUGGUGUUGUCAGGAAAGGCCUUUUCCCAUAUACAAAAGCUGGAAGUCAAAUGGAGAAUGGGGCUUGGAUAAGUUACAGGAGAAAUUCUUCCAGGUAGACGCAGUGGUUUGGGACCUGAUGCCGAUGGAGGACAAAUGGAGAGCAUGGCGUUCCUGCAGGUGGAAGAGAGGUUGGGGCCAGUUUCUGCAGGUGCCCCUGUCAUCUGCUGAAGGAUCUGGGAAAAGAAGGGUCCAUGACUAUUCUUUCCUCUGUAGAUCUGUGACCCACAAUUUGAAAUGACAGAUCUGCUCAGCUUACACAUUCAGGGCAGUUUCAAGUGAGAUGUAUGUAAUUCCUUUCCUCUGACAACAUGCUCUGUUGUCCUCUCUCUGUUUCAUAAUUGUCUACUUUUAGGAGAAUUUAUGGAGCCUGAUGAAUAGCUUAACAUUUCUUUCUUUGAAUUUCCAGAUGUUCUGACCAAAUUCCAACUUCCAGUUGGACGUUCCCAGCCCUUCUCGAGGGCUGUCUGGUAAUUUUCUAAUCCUGCCUGGGACAUUCCUGUUUCCUGCUGAGAAAUAAGAAAACAACAAUGCUUCCCUAAGGGUGGUCUGCUUCAGCCCUGGGCCCUGGGAUCUCCAUUUUAGGGAAAGUGUUUACAAGGGUAUAAAGCUCUGAAAGGAAGCGGGCCUGUGAGUCUUCUGGGAAAGAACAUGGGCCCCCGCCAUAAGGAUUUGCCGCAGAAUUCUGCUGCAUUCCUCAGCGGGACAGACUGUCUAGGAAGUUCACUUUGAUUAAAAUAUAGCUACAUGUAAGUGUGUGUGAGUGGGUGUGUGAAACAGAUCUGAGAAAAAGGCAGGCAAAAGUAAAGGGAGUGAGGGAGAUAAGGAGAGAGGUCACAGGCAGAUAGUUCUCUCUCGGUGCAUAAAGAUUUCUUCGGUGCACUUGAAUUUUUUUUAUUAUGGAAAUAUUCAAACAUACACAAAAAUAGAGAAAAUAGUGUAGUGAACCACCACGUACCCAUCAUCCAACUUCAACAACUAUCAACAUUUUGUCAAUCUUUUUUACCUAUCUGCUCCUCUCCUUUUUUUUGCUCUAGAACUGGGAAUUGGCAAACUAGCACCCACUGGGCCAAAUCCAGCUUGCCUCCUGUUUUUGUAAAUAAAGUUUUAUUGGAACACAGCCGCAACUAUUCCUUUAUGUGUUAUCCACACCUGCUUUCACAUCACACCAGCAAGGCUGAGUAGUUGGACAGACAUUGUAUAGCCCAGGAAGCCUAAAAUAUUUCUAUGUGAACUUUUAGAGAAAAAGCUUAUACUGGGCAUCAUACCAUUUCACUCAUAAAUGUUUCAAUAUGAGUCUCUAGCAGAUAAUGUAACUGUGGGCCUCCAGGACCAGUGCAACUGACCUCGUCUCUUACCACCAGAGUGAUUAAGAACUGCCUUUCAGAAAGUGUGCAAAGUCACAUAGCCAGGGCACGUGCAAAAGAAGAAAUCGUGACCUGAAACGACUUCAGAACCAAAGAUCCUCCUUCCCAUGGAACCCAAGGACCAGGAUAUGACUGGAACUUGAAAGUCAGACUCUUCUCAGAAGGCACUUAACAUGAGUCUUACGUUCCUCACCUGGAAGUUGAGAGGGUUGCCCUGGCUAAUCCUCAAGGACCCGGCCAGCCAGAGGUCUGAAGCCAGGAGAAACGUGGUGCGGGUUAAGGUUGUGGCGCCAGCUUCCACACGGUUCGUGUGCACAGUGAAGCCCAUGAGAAGUGUUCUGUUUGGAGAAGCAGCUCUGACAACUGGGGGCAAUGCAGUCAUCCGCAAAGGAAGCAGCCUUCGAAAGUGCUCCCAGCCUGUUGUCCCAAGAGGAAGGAAGGCGUGAGCUCGUUUCUGAGGGCAGAUCCGCCCUGAAGGAGCACUAACUAAUUUUCCCUUUGCCCCAGUUCCUUGAACUCGUUCUCUCUCUUUAUUGUGCAUAUUUUUCUAAACACCUCAAAUCCUUUUAUGGAAUAAAGUUAGGAUAUAAAUGUGUUCAUUUUUAAAAAAAUCCUGAAAAGUGAGUUGCUUCAAACUACCAUAGAACUACCAUAUGACCUAGCGAUGCCACUUCUGGGCAUACACGCCAAAGAAUUGAAAGCAGAGACUCGAACAGAUUUUGGUACACCCAUGUUCAAAGCAGCAUCAUUCACGAUGGCCAAAAUGUGGAAACAACCCAAGCGUCCAUCAACAGAUGAAUGAUAAACAAAAUGUGAUACACACACUGUAGUAUACUAUUCAGACGUAAAAAGGAAUGAAAUUUUGAAACAUGCUAAAACUUGGAAGGACCUUGAAAACAUUAUGCCAGCAAUAAGCCAGACACAGAAGGGGAAAUAUUGUAUGAUUCCAUUCAUAGGAGGUACCAAGAAUAGGCCAAUUCAUAGAGACAGAAAGUGGAAUAGAGGUUACCAGGGGCUGGGGGAAGGGAGAAGAAGGGGUUAUCAUUUAACAGACAGAGAGUUUUUGUUGGAGAUGAUGAAAAAGUUUUGCGUGUAGAUAGUGACGAUGGUUACAUAACUUUGGGAAUGUGUUUAAUGCCACUGAAUUGUACACUUAUGAAGGGUUAAAAUGAUAAAUAUUGUGUUAUAUAUAUUUUACCACAAUAAAAAUAGUUUUUUAUGGUGAAAAAGUUAUAUUUGGAAUUGGUCAGCUGGACUCAGUUCAGAGGAUCCCAGCUCUGUUGGCAACAUCCAGAGCAUCAGAGUCAGGCCAGUGGCACGUAUACCUUCUCUCCGUCCGGCCGGAUUGGGGUGUGGACCUUGGC
ensembl:lncRNA